UACGGGGGGGGCAAGCGUUGUUCGGAAUUACUGGGCGUAAAGGGCUCGUAGGCGGCCAACUAAGUCAGACGUGAAAUCCCUCGGCUUAACCGGGGAACUGCGUCUGAUACUGGAUGGCUUGAGUUUGGGAGAGGGAUGCGGAAUUCCAGGUGUAGCGGUGAAAUGCGUAGAUAUCUGGUGGAACACCGGUGGCGAAGGCGGCAUCCUGGACCAACACUGACACUGAGGAGCGAAAGCCAGGGGAGCAAACGGG
rnacentral:rRNA from 1 species